rnacentral:rRNA from 1 species
GACGAACGCUGGCGGCGUGCCUAACACAUGCAAGUCGAACGGGGUACCUUCGGGUACUUAGUGGCGAACGGGUGAGUAACGCGUGAGAAACCUGCCUUUCAGUGGGGGACAACAGUUGGAAACGACUGCUAAUACCGCGUGAUGUUAUUUGAGGGCAUCCUUGAAUAACCAAAGCUUUAUGUGCUGAAAGAUGGUCUCGCGUCUGAUUAGGUAGUUGGUGAGGUAACGGCUCACCAAGCCUGCGAUCAGUAGCCGGACUGAGAGGUUGAACGGCCACAUUGGGACUGAGAUACGGCCCAGACUCCUACGGGAGGCAGCAGUGGGGAAUAUUGGUCAAUGGUCUGACGACUGAACCAGCCAUGCCGCGUGAAGGAAGAAGGCCUUCGGGUUGUAAACUUCUUUUACCAGGGACGAAGAACGUGACGGUACCUGGAGAAAAAGCAACGGCUAACUACGUG